AAUUCAUCUUUUCUUGCAAAUCAAGGUCUCUGGGGUUUCAUUGUGUUUUCUAGACAUCUCCUUCGUUCUCUUGCUCGACAGAAAAUCCCUAAUUCUUCUUUUCCACCAAUGGCACUUCCACUAGGCCCUUACACUGGAACCAGCAGUCUUGCCUUGGUUGCUAGAGCUUCUGCUUUGACAGCUGGUAUUGUUUACGGAAGCUUGAAGCUCAAGUAUCUUCAGGCUAAAAAGAAAGUGGCGGUUCCUGCUCAUCAUUGAGAGGCAGACAUAGAUGAGAACACCUAUGAUGGUUUUUAAUCAAUCAAAAUAAUACUAGAGACACUUAGGAGUAGAUUGUUAUUUUUUGGCUGCAUAUUACUGGACCAUGGUACUCUUGUGUGCUCUUUUUUUGUAAAGUCUUUUCCAAUUUUGAUGGAGGGUUUUGUUAACUCAUCAAUAUACAUUUAAGAUUCAGAUUGUGGCCUCUUGCUAGAACAAAAGCAAGGCGUUUCUUGAGGUUCGAACUCUGUCUUCAUAGUCCAUUUAUUAGCAACAAGUCAAGAAAUUUUAUUAUUGUCUUCUCAA